UUUCCGUAGGUGAACCUGCGGAAGGAUCAUUAAUGAGUUGUCAUGGGGUUCGAUGCUGGCAGCCAAUUUUUGGAUGCAUGUGCUUGCCCUAACAAUCAUCUUCCAAACACCUGUGCACAUUUUUGAGGGAGUCUUGAGUUGGUUGCCGCUCUUGGGUGAUUUUCUCACAUUCCCUUAAAUCAUUAUACGCUAUUAACAAUGUUGAACGUGCUCUGUGCCGCAAGGCUAUUAAUAUAAUACAACUUUUAACAACGGAUCUCUUGGCUCUCGCAUCGAAGAACGCAGC
rnacentral:misc_RNA from 1 species